rnacentral:rRNA from 1 species
UACGUAGGGGGCAAGCGUUGUCCGGAUUUAUUGGGCGUAAAGAGCGUGUAGGCGGCUAGAUAGGUCCGUUGUGAAAACUCGAGGCUCAACCUCGAGACGCCGGUGGAAACCAUCUAGCUAGAGUCCGGAAGAGGAGAGUGGAAUUCCUGGUGUAGCGGUGAAAUGCGCAGAUAUCAGGAAGAACACCCGUGGCGAAAGCGACGCACUGGACCUCUUCUGACGCUGAGGCGCGAAAGCCAGGGGAGCAAACGGG